rnacentral:rRNA from 1 species
UACGAAGGGGGCGAGCGUUGUUCGGAUUUACUGGGCGUAAAGGGCGCGCAGGCGGCUCAUUUUGUCAGGCGUGAAAGCCCCGGGCUUAACCUGGGAACUGCGUUUGAUACGGAUGGGCUAGAGUCCAGUAGGGGAGUGUGGAAUUCCCGGUGUAGCGGUGAAAUGCGCAGAUAUCAGGAGGAACACCGGUGGCGAAGGCGGGAUCCUGGGCCAGUACUGACGCUGAGGAGCGAAAACGUGGGGAGCAAACAGG